UGAGCUUGAUCCUGGCUCAGGGAUGAACGCUAGCGGCAGGCUUAACACAUGCAAGUCGAGGGGUAUGCUUCUUCGGAAGCAGAGACCGGCGCACGGGUGCGUAACGCGUAUGCAAUCUACCUUUUACAGAGGGAUAGCCCAGAGAAAUUUGGAUUAAUACCUCAUAGCAUAGCAGUCUCGCAUGAGAUCACUAUUAAAGUCACAACGGUAAAAGAUGAGCAUGCGUCCCAUUAGCUAGUUGGUAAGGUAACGGCUUACCAAGGCUACGAUGGGUAGGGGUCCUGAGAGGGAGAUCCCCCACACUGGUACUGAGACACGGACCAGACUCCUACGGGAGGCAGCAGUGAGGAAUAUUGGACAAUGGGCGCAAGCCUGAUCCAGCCAUGCCGCGUGCAGGAUGACGGUCCUAUGGAUUGUAAACUGCUUUUAUUACCGAGAAAGAAACACUGCUUCGUGAAGCAGCUGACGG
rnacentral:rRNA from 1 species